rnacentral:rRNA from 1 species
AGAGUUUGAUCCUGGCUCAGAACGAACGCUGGCGGCAUGCCUAACACAUGCAAGUCGAACGAACCCUUCGGGGUUAGUGGCGCACGGGUGCGUAACGCGUGGGAAUCUGCCCUUGGGUUCGGAAUAACAGUUAGAAAUGACUGCUAAUACCGGAUGAAGUCUUCGGACCAAAGAUUUAUCGCCCAGGGAUGAGCCCGCGUAGGAUUAGGUAGUUGGUGGGGUAAAGGCCUACCAAGCCGACGAUCCUUAGCUGGUCUGAGAGGAUGAUCAGCCACACUGGGACUGAGACACGGCCCAGACUCCUACGGGAGGCAGCAGUGGGGAAUAUUGGACAAUGGGGGAAACCCUGAUCCAGCAAUGCCGCGUGAGUGAUGAAGGCCUUCGGGUCGUAAAGCUCUUUUACCAGGGAUGAUAAUGACAGUACCUGGAGAAUAAGCUCCGGCUAACUCCGUGCCAGCAGCCGCGGUAAUACGGAGGGAGCUAGCGUUGUUCGGAAUUACUGGGCGUAAAGCGCACGUAGGCGGUUACUCAAGUCAGAGGUGAAAGCCCGGGGCUCAACCCCGGAACUGCCUUUGAAACUAGGUGACUUGAAUCUUGGAGAGGCGAGUGGAAUUCCGAGUGUAGAGGUGAAAUUCGUAGAUAUUCGGAAGAACACCAGUGGCGAAGGCGACUCGCUGGACAAGUAUUGACGCUGAGGUGCGA